rnacentral:sRNA from 1 species
AUGGGAGUCUCGUUGAAUGCAUUGUUAUUGCAAGGACCAGACCUUGCUAAUAAUUUGAUAGGAGUACUUUUACGAUUCCGUACUGAAAAAGUUGCGUUACAAGGUGACAUAGAAAGUAUGUUCUACCAAGUAAAAGUUCCACUCAAAGAUAGAAACUUAUUGCGAUUUUUAUGGUGGCCAAAUGGAGACAUGAACAGCGAACCAGAAGUAUACAGGAUGACCGUUCAUAUUUUUGGAGCUACAUCUUCUCCAAGUGUUUGUAAUUUUGCGUUGAGACAAACUGCACAGAACUAUGGAAACCAAUUCGAGCCACAAGUUGCAGAAACAAUUUUGAACAAUAUAUAUGUAGACGAUUGUUUAGUAUCGACCGAAUCAGACGAAAAGGCAAUAUCGUUAGUAGAUGGUGUUAGAUCUCUUUGCACAAAAGGAGGCUUUAAUAUGACAAAGUGGACAAGCACGAGUUCAACUGUAGUAAAAUCAAUACCAGACAAGAGUCGCACAAAAAACACUAAUCAGCUUGAUUUUGAGAACGAAUCGUCCAUUGAACGAGCGCUAGGAGUAUCUUGGUACAUCGAUAGAGACGUAUUUGGAUUUCAAAUAAAUACCAAUGAUCAUCCUCAUACUAAGCGAGGAAUAUUAUCAGUUGUAAGUUCUGUGUACGAUCCGUUAGGAAUCGCAUCUCCUUUUGUACUCAUAGGAAGGUCAAUUCUUCAAAAUUUAUGCAAACAACAAGUUGAUUGGGAUGAAGAAAUUAAUGAGACAGAUGAGAAAAAAUGGAUCAGUUGGUUGAAUCAGUUGAACGAGUUGCAUAAUGUUAAGAUUGACAGAUGUUACAAGCCGCCAAAUUUUGAAAAUGUAAUGUCAACACAGAUUCAUUGUUUCUCGGAUGCCAGUGAUAUCGGUUAUGGCAUGGUUUUCUAUCUUCGUUUAAUUGAUAAAACUGGGAGGAUUCAUUGCUCAUUUGUUCUUGGGAAAUCACGAGUUGCGCCUCUGAAAACAAUUACCGUGCCUAGAAUGGAAUUAACUGCUGCAGCAAGAGCAGUUCGAUUGAGCAAAGUUAUUUUGCAAGAGUUGAAUUACAACAUCGAUAAAGUGUUCUUUUGGACAGAUAGUAUGACAGUGCUGCGAUAUAUUUUCAACAGAAAUUCAAGAUAUCAUACGUUUGUUGCAAAUCGUCUUGCUUUAAUACAUGAAGCUACCGACAAUGCACAGUGGAAUUAUGUAAAUACGAAGCAAAAUCCAGCUGACUUUGCUUCGCGUGGAAUGACUAUUUCGAAAUUUGAACAAAAUCCUCAAUGGAUCAGGGGACCAGAUUAUUUGUGGUUACCAGAAUGUGAAUGGCCACAAGUAUGUGUGGACUUGAAAUUUCCAGAUAAUGACUCAGAAGUCAAACGAAAAUCAGUGGUUAAUGCAUCAAUUGUGGACGAUGAUUAUGAUGAAUUUAACAGUUUUGAAACCUUGAUUUCUCGAUGUUCUGACUUUGACAAGUUGAAAAGAAUUGUAGCUUGGUUGUUGAAGGCCGUAAACAACUUUAAGCAAACCUACCGAAGAAAAAACGACUUAGCAAAUGAGAAUGAAGAUAAGUUACCUACACAAGCAAAAUCCAAGCGACUAAAUGAAUCGAAGGAACUAGUCAAAACUCUGAAUCUAAAAGUACAGGAUGUACACAACGCAGAAAUGACUAUUAUUCGUUUUGUUCAAAACCAACAUUUUGAUGAUGAAGUACAGCGAUUAAAAGAUAAGUUGAAUGUUAAGCGAACAUCAAGACUGUUUAAACUUGACUCAUAUAUUGAUGAAAAAGGAAUAUUACGAGUUGGUGGGAGAUUAGCAAGAUCAAAUCUAACCGAAACAUCGAAGCAUCCAAUCAUACUGCCAAAACAAUCUACAUUAUCAUAUUCAAUUAUACAAGGAAUUCAUAGAUCGAUCGGACAUUUAGGGAAAAAUGCUAUUUUGACCGAACUCAGACAAAAGUAUUGGAUCAUAGGUGCUAACGGUAUAAUCAAGAAUAUUGUCUCUAAAUGUGUCAUAUGUAGAAAAUAUCAAGCACCCAUCAUGCAACAGAAAAUGGCGAAUUUGCCCAGCGAAAGGGUGACUCAAGAUACUGCACCGUUUACAAUCGUUGGUAUGGAUUACUUUGGACCUUUUGCAAUUAAACAGAGAAGGUGUACUGUUAAACGUUACGGUGUGAUAUUUACAUGUCUCAAAAUAAGAGCAGUACAUUUGGAAGUAGCCGAUUCCCUAGACACCAGUUCUUGCAUUAAUGCAAUCCGGCGAUUCAUUGCACGCAGAGGAGUACCCAAAAUUAUUCGAUCGGACAAUGGAACUAAUCUCGUAGGUGCGCAAAGAGAACUUAAAGAUGAAAUUGUUAAAUGGAAUCUGAAUCAGAUUGACAAUUUUAUGCUUCAAAAGGGCAUCGACUGGAAAUUUUAA